UAGAUUGUAGUGUAAUAUGGUAGCACGGAGAAUUUUGGAUUCUUAAGAAUAGGUUCGAUCCCUGUUAUUCUAG
rnacentral:tRNA from 1 species